GCCGGCAUAGCUCAGAUGGUAGAGCAACCGCCUUGUAAGCGGUAGGUCGACUGUUCGAUUCAGUCUGCCGGCA
rnacentral:tRNA from 1 species